GGAUGCUCCAGUUGRMYGCAUGKYCYUCUGGGAAAGMUUYWKCGGUAUGGGAUGGGGUCGCGUCCUAUCAGCUUGAUGGCGGGGUAACGGCCCACCAUGGCUUCGACGGGUAGCCGGCCUGAGAGGGCGACCGGCCACAUUGGGACUGAGAUACGGCCCAGACUCCUACGGGAGGCAGCAGUGGGGAAUAUUGCACAAUGGGCGCAAGCCUGAUGCAGCGACGCCGCGUGCGGGAUGACGGCCUUCGGGUUGUAAACCGCUUUUGACUGGGAGCAAGCCCUUCGGGGUGAGUGUACCUUUCGAAUAAGCACCGGCUAACUACGUGCCAGCAGCCGCGGUAAUACGUAGGGUGCAAGCGUUAUCCGGAAUUAUUGGGCGUAAAGGGCUCGUAGGCGGUUCGUCGCGUCCGGUGUGAAAGUCCAUCGCUUAACGGUGGAUCCGCGCCGGGUACGG
rnacentral:rRNA from 1 species